AAGAAUAGUGGUGUUUUCCCAAGGAUUUCCUGGCAGCAACGAUCCUUGGCUAAGGAUCAACAGAAGGGGGCUGUGAGGAAAAGUGGAAACCACCAGCAGCUACCCUUCACCAGCAGCAAUCAACGGCUGUAAAGACGGCUGUGAAUUUAGGACUUUGACGCGAGACGAGCAUCUCGACGUCGGAUUUGGACCUUUCUAUUGGAGGUUGAGGCUGUCCGGAGGAUUUCCAGUCGCUAGUCCCCCUGUAGAUCGCAAGGAUGCUUGUUUGGUCUUUUGGUUUUUCUUAUUAUACUAUUUAGACUAUGUUUUAGACUUGUAUCUUUUU